AUCUCUCUACCCAGCCAGUUUACACCUGUCCAACUAUCUCAAUCCAAAAAGAAGUUGCCCUCCACUGUUCUUCCUUAGACAAACUCUUGUCUACGGUGUGCCUAAUUCAAUAGGAAGAUAUAAAUUGAUCUGUCCUGUAUACUUACUUUAUACUUAUUUUUCCACAGGCAUAAACAGUGGUAAUUUGGAAAAAAAUAGAUAUUUGGAAGGGUGAUUUGGAAUGUGAGUUCUUUGAAAUAUCUGUGUAAUACAUAGAUUUCCAAGGAGAGAGAGAAACAGCUGGGAGUGAUCCCAUAGCAGCCUGUUUAAAGGAGAAACUCUUGAAUUCAGUGUCCUCUCCAAAACAAUCUACAGAAUCUCAGCAGAUAGCGUACUGUGAACUGUCUCUUCAUAGUGCCUGGCUGCAAAGCAGAUCACAAAGAUGGUAUCCCAGUCUGUUGGAUAAUGGCUACGUCAGACUUUUCUCUCUGCAUGGGAAUCACCCUACUAAUAGUUGAAUGUCUUAGUGGCAGGUUUGUAUACUGAGAGGUGGGCAGGUGUAAACAUUGGCUGAGUACACACUGAGGUCAACCAUUUACUAAAAUAAAAAGUGUUGUAUUUAUCUUGCAGGUGUGAUCAGGGAUCUGAGUUGCGCUUCUUAGACAUGUAAUGGCUGAACAGACUGACACUGACUUUGUGACCCUGGGCAGGUGUUCCUACUUCUUUCACAAUCCUGAAUUCUCAUGCCAUGCUUUAAAAAAAUAUAAAAAAAGAAAGCAUUUUACAUGAACAGGAGGAUAUUAAGGAGAAUAUAAGACCUUUGUAAGGAAUUCUGCAACUCUUUAAAAUAUCUUCUGGAUAAAGUUAAGGAUCAUUUUUGUUAUUGACCAAAGAGGCGCACAGGGAAAAGUAGAUAAAAUAAGCUUAGUGCUUUUUUUUUUCUCCAAAGCACGAGUUGGGAAAGCUUCUAAGAGCUGGUUCUCUUGAUAUUGCUAACUCUUCAGGACUUGAUUUUCUCAUGCUUGUAGCAGUCAUUUUAGGUGUGAGAUGGAAGAGCUCAGAAGUUGUCUCGGGCAGUACUGUCAUGAGGGAGCAGAUCUGUUUUGACUUUAUGAUCACAGUGAUCAAGAUAUGAACAUGUCAUCUUUUCGAUUUUGCAUCUUUUUAAUUAAAAAUUGCUUUUCAU
ensembl:lncRNA